UCUCCGUAGGUGAACCUGCGGAGGGAUCAUUACUGAGUGAGGGCUCACGCCCGACCUCCAACCCUUUGUGAAUUCGACCCAGUUGCCUCGGGGGCGACCCUGCCGGCACUCUGUCGCCGGGCGCCCCCGAAGGUCUCCAAACACUGCAUCUUUGCGUCGGAGUUUAAAACAAAUUAAACAAAACUUUCAACAACGGAUCUCUUGGUUCUGGCAUCGAUGAAGAACGCAGC
rnacentral:misc_RNA from 1 species